CGGGUUGUGGCGCAGCUUGGUAGCGCAAGGCGUUUGGGGCGCCGAGGUCGCAGGUUCAACUCCUGUCAACCCGACAA
rnacentral:tRNA from 1 species